UGAAAAAAAAAGCCCAAAAAAAAAAAAUCUAAGCAAAUGACUAUUAAUCUUAUCCAGUAAAGGCAAUCGUCAAGGUUCAUAAUUCUCAAAUCAAGGGAAACUUUCUUUUCAAGAAAUUUUCUCACUAAAGUGAGAGAUUCCUGUUAACCAGCCCUCCAGAUAAACUUUCUAAAGUAAACAAAACAUACACUAAUGUUAAAUUAUCAGCCCAUUACCCAAAUAUCUGUAACCAAGAGAUAAGUCGAUUAUUACUGAUAAUUUUGACAAAAUCCGUUCAAUAGAAAAUAUCCUUUAAUUCCAAAUCGAAUUUCUUAUUUUAACUUGGCACACAUAUUACAUUAGGAUUUCAUAACAAAGACUGUAUAUGUUAAGCGAGUGAACAUGUGGCCACCACUGAUUACUUUCCGAUUUUGUGGAUUAGAAAGGUCUGGCGUUCACAACAAUUGUGGAAUAUAUUACCAAGACUUUCCCAUGUUACUUAUUAACUAUCUAGGUAGUCAACAUCAGCCUUCUUAUAACUGAGUUUUCUCUAACUAUCUUUUCGUAAGUUUUUGACUAGUACUGUUUCCCAAUGAGUUCUUUUUGUUUUUUAGAUCAUAAUAAGUUCAUAGUGUUU
rnacentral:lncRNA from 1 species